UGCAAAUAACUUUGCUUUCUUUUUUAUUUAAAAAAUUCAAUAUAAUAAAAAAGGGAACCAAUAUUAAUAAUACACUGAAAUUAUAUGCUGUCUUCCUUAGUUGUUUCAUAUACGCAAAGCCAAAGGGCAAAGGGCCAAAGGCCGUCGUGUUUUAAAUCCAUUAUAAAAUUAAUAUUUAAAACAAACUUACCUUCGUUAACGUCGGUUCCCUUCUUUUAGCCGAUUCUUUCGCCCUUUCUUUCUGAGAAAGCUUUUGAAAUUUACAAAAUCUUGCAAAAAUGCGAGCAAAAAUAAAAUAUAUUAUAUUUGCAGGAAAUUUAUCAAUCAUCAAAUCAAGAAAUGUUUGCCGAUUUCGCUGUCGUCAUGCAGUCGUUAUAAUGCAAACUUUAAAUUGGACCAAUCACAACCUCGUCCCCAGGGCCGCCAUAUUUUUGAGAUCAGUGAGCCUAAACACCCACCCAACACCCCAACAUCGUUGGUGAGCCACGCCCGCGAUCAUUGAUGAACUUUAGACUUCGCUAAUGCUUUCGUUUCCCCGGGUGUAAAUAGCCAGGGGGAAUUAGUACCCUCGCACGGCGCUUCGCGCCGUCGGCUCGGGGAUUAAAAAUGCAUUACGUUCAAUUCUUGGUUUUCGGUCGUUUGCCCGUUUACCAGUGGAUUCGACUAAUUUUUCUCGUCAUUUUGAUAGUAUUUUGAGCCCAAACUAUUUUAUUUUGAAGGUUUUAAAUUGCAGUUUGAAUAAGCGAAAUUGUAUUGUUGACAAAUCGCUCAAAAUUAUUAAACUAAUUAAAAAUGCAGUACGUUUGAAAUAACUUUGGUAACGUUGGUUUUCUCUUUUCGGCCGUAUACCAGUAUAUUCAUCUCACUUUUCUCUUCAUUUUGAUAGUAUUUCAUGUGCUAAAACCUGGACGAUGGACGUCGACCAUCGUCCAUCGUCCAAUAAAACCUGGACGAUGGAGUCCAUCGUCCAAUAAAACCUGGACGAUGGACGUCCAUAGUCCAUUGUCCAAUAAAAUCUGCACGAUGGACGUCCAUCGUAUGAUUGGUUUAUAAGACAAAAUAUUUUUUAAUCUGUCUUUUGAUUGGUUGGUCUAAUUAGAUUAUACUAUUAUUGUUGAUAUAUUUUAUAGUGAUCACAACUAUAAUUAGUUUGUUGUUGUCGUUGUGUGAAAUUUAAAUUUCUCCUGCGACAUUUUGAUUGGAUACUAAAUAUAAACUUUGCUGUGCGAGGGUGGAAAGCGAUCGGAUUAAGGUUUGUGUCAGGCUCUAUUUUUUAUAGAACCUGAUCUGAAAACGUUUUCUAUAGUUGUUACUUAUUUCUAGAUACAUUAUUUAGAGGGAUGCGUCUUAGUCCCCCCCACCCACCCUCCCUCCCUAAAUAAUUUUGUGAACGUCAGGAAAAUGUUCGGCCGUCCCCUAAUUACUUUUCCUCCCGUACCGCCUAUAUGGGCACACCUGUAGACAGCUAUUGACUGGGAACCACUAAUGUAUGUACUAAUAUUAAUGUACUAAUAUUUAUUCAUAGAAUUUAUGUAAUACAAGACGCUGAUAAAUCCCCAUUUCUAGCUGCUCUUGUUUUGGUGACUUUUUUCAGUUGCAGCAACAAGAGAACCAAAGAGCGAGUCUUUGUUUGCCAGAAGUGCAGACGGUUUGUCAAAUUCAACAAUCUG
rnacentral:lncRNA from 1 species